rnacentral:rRNA from 1 species
AUUGAACGCUGGCGGCAGGCCUAACACAUGCAAGUCGAGCGGAUGAAGGGAGCUUGCUCCUGGAUUCAGCGGCGGACGGGUGAGUAAUGCCUAGGAAUCUGCCUGGUAGUGGGGGAUAACGUCCGGAAACGGGCGCUAAUACCGCAUACGUCCUGAGGGAGAAAGUGGGGGAUCUUCGGACCUCACGCUAUCAGAUGAGCCUAGGUCGGAUUAGCUAGUUGGUGGGGUAAAGGCCUACCAAGGCGACGAUCCGUAACUGGUCUGAGAGGAUGAUCGAUCACACUGGAACUGAGACACGGUCCAGACUCCUACGGGAGGCAGCAGUGGGGAAUAUUGGACAAUGGGCGAAAGCCUGAUCCAGCCAUGCCGCGUGUGUGAAGAAGGUCUUCGGAUUGUAAAGCACUUUAAGUUGGGAGGAAGGGCAGUAAGUUAAUACCUUGCUGUUUUGACGGUACCAACAGAAUAAGCACCGGCUAACUUCGUG